GACGAACGCUGGCGGCGUGCCUAAUACAUGCAAGUUGAGCGCUGAAGGUUGGUACUUGUACCAACUGGAUGAGCAGCGAACGGGUGAGUAACGCGUGGGGAAUCUGCCUUUGAGCGGGGGACAACAUUUGGAGACGAAUGCUAAUACCGCAUAAAAACUUUAAACACAAGUUUUAAGUUUGAAAGAUGCAAUUGCAUCACUCAAAGAUGAUCCCGCGUUGUAUUAGCUAGUUGGUGAGGUAAAGGCUCACCAAGGCGAUGAUACAUAGCCGACCUGAGAGGGUGAUCGGCCACAUUGGGACUGAGACACGGCCCAAACUCCUACGGGAGGCAGCAGUAGGGAAUCUUCGGCAAUGGACGAAAGUCUGACCGAGCAACGCCGCGUGAGUGAAGAAGGUUUUCGGAUCGUAAAACUCUGUUGGUAGAGAAGAACGUUGGUGAGAGUGGAAAGCUCAUCAAGUGACGGUAACUACCCAGAAAGGGACGGCUAACUACGUC
rnacentral:rRNA from 1 species